rnacentral:rRNA from 1 species
CAGCAGCCGCGGUAAUACGUAGGUGGCAAGCGUUGUCCGGAAUUAUUGGGCGUAAAGCGCAUGUAGGCGGUAAUUUAAGUCUGUCGUGAAACUGCGGGGCUCGGCCCCGUAUGGCGAUGGAAACUGGGUUACUUGAGUGCAGGAGAGGAAAGGGGAACUCCCAGUGUAGCGGUGAAAUGCGAAGAUAUUGGGAAGAACACCGGUGGCGAAGGCGCCUUUCUGGACUGUGUCUGACGCUGAGAUGCGAAAGCCAGGGUAGCGAACGGGAUUAGAUACCCCGGUAUUGACGGCCGCAAGGCUUAAACUCAAAGAAAGUCCUGGCCGUAAACGAUGGGUACUAGGUGUGGGAGGUAUCGACCCCUUCCGUGCCGGAGUUAACGCAAUAAGUACCCCGCUUGGGGAGUACGG